rnacentral:rRNA from 1 species
UUGAUCCUGGCUCAGAAUCAACGCUGGCGGCGUGCCUAACACAUGCAAGUCGAACGCGAAAGUCCCGCAAGGGAUAAGUAGAGUGGCAAACGGGUGAGUUACACGUGGGUGACCUGCCUUCGAGUGGGGGAUAACGUCCCGAAAGGGACUCUAAUACCGCAUAACAUCCUGCCUUUUAAGAGGUGGAGAUCAAAGCUGGUGACCGUAAGGCCUGGCGCUGGAAGAGGGGCCCGCGUCUGAUUAGCUAGUUGGUGAGGUAACGGCUCACCAAGGCAACGAUCAGUAUCCGGCCUGAGAGGUCGGACGGACACACUGGGACUGAGACACGGCCCAGACUCCUACGGGAGGCUGCAGUGGGGAAUUGUUCGCAAUGGGCGCAAGCCUGACGACGCAACGCCGUGUGGAGGAUGAAGACCUUCGGGUCGUAAACUCCUUUCGAUCGAGACGAAUGGUCUUGGAGUUAACAGCUUCGAGAAGUGACGGUACCGAGAGAAGAAGCUCCGGCUAACUCCGUGCCAGCAGCCGCGGUAAUAAGGU